rnacentral:tRNA from 1 species
UGGCUCAGUUGGUAGAGCAUGGUGUUUGCAAUGCCAGCAUGGUGUGUGCAACACCAGGGUUGUGGGUUCGAUUCCCAU